rnacentral:rRNA from 1 species
CGUGGGUAACCUGCCCAAGAGAUCGGGAUAACACCUGGAAACAGAUGCUAAUACCGGAUAACAACAGAUGAUGCCUAUCAACUGUUUAAAAGAUGGUUCUGCUAUCACUCUUGGAUGGACCUGCGGUGCAUUAGCUAAUUGGUAGGGUAACGGCCUACCAAGGCGAUGAUGCAUAGCCGAGUUGAGAGACUGAUCGGCCACAUUGGGACUGAGACACGGCCCAAACUCCUACGGGAGGCAGCAGUA